GGGGGGGCGGGAGGACAGAGGAGUCGGGCAGGAGUUGUGUAAAAGGGGCUGAAGUCCUGCGCGGUGCUCUGUACAGCUGCUGCGGACUCCAGGAGUGGGACCGGCGCACAUUUAGCUCCCACUAAACCGUCUUCUAUCGCGGAUGUCAGAGUAAUAUCCGCUCAGACAGCGACACGGGCUGCUGGAGGUCCAGGACUCCGCCGUGCAGUGCAGUGGGCGAGGCUCCGUGAACUCCGUGGAUCGGCUGGCCGAGCAGGAGCGACCCGGCCGGCGGUCAAGGAAGGACUGCACCUAAAGCAGAUGAAGAAGAAGAAGAAGUCACGGUUCGUGCCUGGAGCUGGGCUGCCUGUCACGUUCCACUCCUAGCUCUUCCUCACCCAAAUGGCUGACACACAGCAGUUCUUCACUGGCAAGCUUUAUGUUCCUGUACACAUGCUAAAGCUGCCAGCUGAAGAACUGCUGUGGUCUGCCCUGCCCCGGAGGAGUCAAGAACAGGAAGUGGACUGGAUGGGGGACGGGGGGAGGGACGGAGGAAGAGGACUGAGGAACACAGUGUUUCACACCACAGUAGUCUGACGGGACAUUAAUAACCUGCCAGAUCACAGCCAACUUAUCACAUGUACGACACGUGUCACUGCAGGCACUGACGUGUCUGUAAUUUGUGAGUACGUUGGAUUUGUUGCCUUCUUAAAUUUAACGUGCAUGUCUUUCCAACAAUAAAGAUCAUAAAACACUC